AGUGAACGCUGGCGGUAGGCCUAACACAUGCAAGUCGAACGGCCACACAGUAAGAGCUUGCUCUUACGGGUUGCGAGUCGCGUGCGGGUGUGCCAUACAUCGGAAUCUACUUUUUCGUGGGGGAUAACGAAGGCAGACUUACGCUAAUACCGCAUACGACAUCCGGGUGAAAGCAGGCGAGCUUCGGACUUUGCGCGAUUGAAUGAGCCGAUGUCGGAUUAGCUAGUUGGCGGGGUAAUGGCACAGCAAGGCGACGGACGGUAGCGGGUCUGAGCGGGUGAUCAGCCAGACUGGAAGUGAGAAUGGGUCCAGACACCGACGGUAGGAAGCAGUGGGGAAUAUUGGACGAUGGGCGAAAGCCUGAUCCAGGAAUACCGCGUGGGUGAAGAAGGCCUUCGGGUGGGAGAGCGCUGUUGUUGGGAAAGAAAAGCAGCAGGUUAAUACGCCGCGGUACUGACGGUACCCAAAGAAUAAGCCCCGGCUAACUUCGUG
rnacentral:rRNA from 1 species